rnacentral:rRNA from 1 species
GGAAAGGCCCUUCGGGGUACUCGAGUGGCGAACGGGUGAGUAACACGUGGGUGAUCUGCCCUGCACUUUGGGAUAAGCCUGGGAAACUGGGUCUAAUACCGAAUAUACCCUGCUGGUUGCAUGACUUGGUGGGGGAAAGCUUUUGCGGUGUGGGAUGGGCCCGCGGCCUAUCAGCUUGUUGGUGAGGUUACGGCUCACCAAGGCGACGACGGGUAGCCGGCCUGAGAGGGUGUCCGGCCACACUGGGACUGAGAUACGGCCCAGACUCCUACGGGAGGCAGCAGUGGGGAAUAUUGCACAAUGGGCGCAAGCCUGAUGCAGCGACGCCGCGUGGGGGAUGACGGCCUUCGGGUUGUAAACCUCUUUCAGUAGGGACGAAGCGCAAGUGACGGUACCUACAGAAGAAGCACCGGCCAACUACGUGCCAGCAGCCGCGGUAAUACGUAGGGUGCGAGCGUUGUCCGGAAUUACUGGGCGUAAAGAGCUCGUAGGUGGUUUGUCGCGUUGUUCGUGAAAACCGGGGGCUUAACCCUCGGCGUGCGGGCGAUACGGGCAGACUUGAGUACUGCAGGGGAGACUG